GGCGGGUUAUUCUAAUGGUUAGGAAAUGGGGCUUUCAACCUCAUAACAGGGGUUCAAUUCCCCUACCCGUCA
rnacentral:tRNA from 1 species